rnacentral:rRNA from 1 species
AUUGAACGCUGGCGGCAGGCCUAACACAUGCAAGUCGAGCGGAUGAGGAGAGCUUGCUCUCUGAUUUAGCGGCGGACGGGUGAGUAAUGCCUAGGAAUCUGCCUGGUAGUGGGGGAUAACGUCCGGAAACGGGCGCUAAUACCGCAUACGUCCUACGGGAGAAAGCAGGGGACCUUCGGGCCUUGCGCUAUCAGAUGAGCCUAGGCCGGAUUAGCUAGUUGGUGAGGUAAUGGCUCACCAAGGCUACGAUCCGUAACUGGUCUGAGAGGAUGAUCAGUCACACUGGAACUGAGACACGGUCCAGACUCCUACGGGAGGCAGCAGUGGGGAAUAUUGGACAAUGGGCGAAAGCCUGAUCCAGCCAUGCCGCGUGUGUGAAGAAGGUCUUCGGAUUGUAAAGCACUUUAAGUUGGGAGGAAGGGCAGUAAGUUAAUACCUUGCUGUUUUGACGUUACCGACAGAAUAAGCACCGGCUAACUUCGUGCCAGCCGCCGCAGUAAGAC